UCACCUCCGCGGGCUGGCUGGUCCCCAGACAGGGCUGGGCAAGUAUCUCUCUGAAAGGCUCACCCUCAAGCACAACUAGGAGC
rnacentral:pre_miRNA from 1 species